rnacentral:rRNA from 1 species
UACGUAGGGUCCGAGCGUUGUCCGGAAUUACUGGGCGUAAAGAGCUCGUAGGUGGUUUGUCGCGUUGUUCGUGAAAACUCACAGCUUAACUGUGGGCGUGCGGGCGAUACGGGCAGACUGGAGUACUGCAGGGGAGACUGGAAUUCCUGGUGUAGCGGUGGAAUGCACAGAUAUCAGGAGGAACACCGGUGGCGAAGGCGGGUCUCUGGGCAGUAACUGACGCUGAGGAGCGAAAGCGUGGGGAGCGAAUGGG